rnacentral:rRNA from 1 species
UAACACGUGGAUAACCUACCUAUAAGACUGGGAUAACUUCGGGAAACCGGAGCUAAUACCGGAUAAUAUUAUGAACCGCAUGGUUCAAAAGUGAAAGACUGUCUUGCUGUCACUUAUAGAUGGAUCCGCGCUGCAUUAGCUAGUUGGUAAGGUAACGGCUUACCAAGGCAACGAUGCAUAGCCGACCUGAGAGGGUGAUCGGCCACACUGGAACUGAGACACGGUCCAG